AUCUUUAGCCAUUCCAUUGAGAGAGAGAGAGAGAGAGAGAGAGAGAGAGAGAGACCGAGACCGAGAGAGAGAUGGGUUGGAAGCGGGAGAAAGAGGAGCCCUCGAGGCGGGGCUUCGGCGAUCUUGUGAACCCUAACCCUGAUCCUAAUGCUCGAUUCGCGGCGGGCGAGGAGCGGUGCUCGACGCAGAUGGUGGUGCGAUCGACCUGCCGAACCGAAGAGGUCGAGACCGGUAGGUUCGUCCGCAAGUGCGAGAAGACCGAGCAAACCCUCAAGGAUUGCGUUGGAAGACCUGUCGAAUUAGUUGAAUCAAAAACCGAGCACACCGAAGAUGAUGUUACUGAUGAAGUGACCGGAGGAUUGUUUCCUUCUAACUCGCCAACAAUGGAGCCCUUUAAUUUUCCUGGGCUUCACAGUGACAUUGAAGGUAUUGAAGGGAGAUUGUUUGGUGGUUUUGGUAAUUUCUUGGAGGCAGCUGACGGGAUGGCAAAUGAGUUCUUCAAAUCUUUUGGAGACCCUUGUUGGCAUAAGCGUGAGUCGUUGCCUUUUCGUCAAUGGGAAACCGCCGAUGGGCAACCGAAGAAGGAUCCUUGGAAGAGAAGAACAAGCGAGUCAGAUUCUUCUGAAUCCGCUGGGCAGAUGACAGAUGUAUAAAAAUUACUUAAAGUUUCUCUUCAUAGUGAACCAGUGGUUAUCAGAUGGAUUUAUUGAAGUUUAAUCCGCAUCAGAAGCAAUUUCUGACACUUAGGUUGAUUCAAGUGCGGGUUCCAAAUCACAAAUAUAAGGUUGCAGCACACUUCGUUCUUGAUCCAUAUUGAUGACAAUAUCGUUAAAUAUGGUUCUCUCGUUUUUGUCGUUAUCACCGCUCCCUUAUUUUGGGUAAUCGUUUUCUUUCCCAAUAGUUAUGUACUUAUCAUCUCUUAUCGUGUAAUUUUAUAUUUGUCCAACUCAUUAGGAUUUUGAUUUCUAUCUUUUGAACAUCAAGUAAUCAUCUCUUAUCGCGUAGUGUUGGCCUAAUUAUAUAUUAUCCAACUCAUUAGGAUUUUGAUUUCUAUCUUCUGUUCAUCAAAUUUCAGACUCUAUAAUACAGAAGCAUUUCAUGCCCAUAUUUUAUGUUAUAGAAGCACUUGAUACAAAAUCAAAGAGUUAUCUGAUUACUUAGGAGUUAGGGGAGGAAGAGGCGAGGGUGACAAUAGAUGAGGAAGCAACGACACCAGAAGGUGAGGGGGCAUUUGUCGCUAAACGUGGUUGAGGAUAAAAACGAUGAAGGCAUCAUAGAAGUAGAAGAUGACGCGGGGAAUGCCGAGAUUGGCGAUGAUGUAGUGGGUCCAACCAAUGAAGAAGUCAAAGACAAUGCAGAGCUUAUCAAGGGAGCGUGGAUCAGAGGACGACGACCGCUUGACAUCUACAUUGACACCGGGCACAUUUGUGAAAUUAUUUUUUUAUUCUUUAUUUUCAUAUUUUCGUUGAUAAAA